rnacentral:lncRNA from 1 species
CGUAAUCACUGUUCUUUGGAUUGGCUCCAGCUCGGAUUAAGCCAGUCAACUGAUGAAGGUCGCCAUAAAAAGCGGCGUUAUUAACUCUUAAGGUAAGCUCUUCCUCUUGCUUCCCUAUAUGGAAAGUGAUAUCUGAUUCUAUGUGUUUAACCCGUUUGCCGUAUUCAUUGCUCUGCAGUCGGAGAUAGCACAUCAAGAAAAAAGAUGCAGUAUCUAUGAAUACUGGAAUUAGAUGAAAUAAUUAAUGGCAUGUUGUUUGUUUCUACUAUUUACCUCGGUAAGAUUGCUCAAAAGUUU